GCCCAUAAUAAAACAGUCUCAUAUGAUUAAUGCAUGAUAACCCCAUCCAACCCUACACUUGCCUCCGUCCAUCCCUACACUUCCUGUGGGGAAUAAAUCACCCACGCCAUCCCUACAGUUACAGUGUUAGCACCGAUUGCGGCACUAACUAUAAUCCGCAGCAAAGCUGCUUAUAUCAGAAUAUGUGGCACAGCCACCAGAACGGGUUCUUCCUCCAUAACAAAACCCAACCCCAUGCAACAGAUAUACAUGUC
rnacentral:lncRNA from 1 species